rnacentral:rRNA from 1 species
AACGAACGCUGGCGGCAGGCCUAACACAUGCAAGUCGAACGGGACCUUCGGGUCUAGUGGCGGACGGGUGAAUAACGCGUGGGAACGUGCCCUUUGGUUCGGAAUAGCCCUGGGAAACUGGGAGUAAUACCGGAUACGGUCGAGAGACGAAAGAUUUAUCGCCGAAGGAUCGGCCCGCGUUGGAUUAGGUAGUUGGUGGGGUAAUGGCCUACCAAGCCGACGAUCCAUAGCUGGUUUGAGAGGAUGAUCAGCCACACUGGGACUGAGACACGGCCCAGACUCCUACGGGAGGCAGCAGUGGGGUAUCUUAGACAAUGGGGGAAACCCUGAUCUAGCCAUGCCGCGUGAGCGAUGAAGGCCUUAGGGUUGUAAAGCUCUUUCAGUGGGGAAGAUAAUGACGGUACCCACAGAAGAAGCCCCGGCUAACUCCGUGCCAGCCGCCGCGGUAA